AUUUUAGUAUAAGUAUGUCCCAUGCAAUAUCUGGGAUAUACUUAUACUAAAA
rfam:Cavia porcellus supercont2_76 genomic scaffold, whole genome shotgun sequence.